rnacentral:lncRNA from 1 species
GCCCGUAUAUUCGGUGACUCGUUUGUCAAUCAGAUUCUCAUUAUUUUAAUUUCAAUCCAACCAUUAUUAGGACUUAAGGGUAUCAGGCCGCUCCUAUUGUCCCAAAGCACCCAUAAGAAAUCUGUACGAGAGAUGCAGGCCUACAGCAAGUGUUUGUUCAUCUUAAGAUGAGAUUCUUUUUCUGAAAAUUUAUUUGGAACCAACUCCC